AUUAUUCCUCCAGCAGUGGUUCAGGACCUACCAGGUGCCUGGCUGUUGAUGAUUAGACCUGGUCACACAUUCAGGGAGCUUGCUGGUGGCAGUGGUGGUGGUGGGGAAGUGGAGAGGGAGAGGCAAGGAAACACGGAAAAAAUGGAAUCACUAAUUAUUACCAGGCAGGUGCAUCUCAGAGAAAAGCCUAUCUCAAAUGAUUUCGGGUGUGACUCCUGUCUUCUCAACUCAUCUACAGAUUCCCCAAAGGCAGUGUGGUGUGUCUUGAACAAUUCCUUUGCCCAGUGCUAGAUGUCAUUGGCCCUCAGUGAUUGUUGCUGAUGGAGGGGGCACGUUUUGCUGGCCCAGCUUGCAGAGUGUAGGUUUUGGUGUGUCCAUCAGCUGUGUUAUCGGGGGCAUUCACUCCUAGCAACAUCUGAGGGCCAGAGG